rnacentral:lncRNA from 1 species
UUAGAGUCACCUUUAUAUGCUUUGAGAGUAGAUGAUGUAUAGGAUGUGAGAUAUUCUGGGAUGAAUGUAAGCUAAUGUUUAUAUUUUGGAAGAUGUAAGCUUUAUACUAUGUUUUAGAAGUUCAAUGUAUAAUCAAAUUGUAUUAUAAAGGCUGAAUGAAUGUAAUAGAUAGAUGCUCUCUCUUUAUCAUUACUUGUAUGUUCUAUACUUGUAUCUUGCUCUUGGCUGUUUUGCACUAUUUGUGCUCUUGUUGUAGUUAUCGAUUGUGUAUGUAUUC